ensembl:lncRNA
AGACUUCACUGGUCACUGCAGGAGCUGUACAUAGAUGCUUUUCUUGUUACAUUAUUUUUUUAAUGUUUCCACAGUUGCUCUCGGUGUUGGAGGCUGAGGUUAAGGCGGUAAAGAGUCAUGACAGUCAUUGGCUGGUUUUCAGUUGCUGCAAACCACACUAGUUCUCUAUUUAGGGCUGCAUUUGCUGCCUUUGCCUUUGUCCCCUCAGCUAAUUAAUUAAUUAUUUUUCUUUUUAAAUGUAUCUUGACUUUGUCACAAUGUAACUCACUACAAAACAUCCAUGAAUUGUCUAGUGGUUUUACAGUGUUCAGAUAGAACACAGCUUGCGGCCGGCCACGGUACCAUGCGCUCGUGUUUACAGUGGAUGUAUCGCAAUGGCGAGGCGCACACAGCUUUUGACCGUGUUCUAUAAAUAUUCUAGAACACUCCGUGUGCUCCGGCGGGAGUCCUGGAGCUCUAUAUCAAAAUAAUAUCAUAUUAUACAUAGAUAUCUAUAUCAUAUAAUAUAUAUUAUCAGGGCCAAAAGCUGUCUGCGCCUCCAGACGAUAUUAUGAAUCUCAAACGACUGCUUCGCGUUCUCCGACGUCUCUGGUUCUUCCACUUCCACGUCAAUCUGAAGUAGAAUGAACCGCGACAUGGAGAAGAAAGGGAUUGUUGCUCUCGAUUGUUGACCGCGAUUGUCUCCCACCGGAGCCCCAACGCACCACCGCCCCAAUCGCGUGCAACAAUCCCUUUCUCCUCCAUGUCGCGGUUCAUGUACUUCAGGGAGUCAAAGCCAAAGUUCCUUUCCCCCAAUUCCUUCUCAACCAUAACUGAGAUAACCCCCACUACGAGCCUCGUUGUGGAAAUACCAGAGACGUCAGAGAACCCUAAAUGUUAUGCGCCAUAACACCAACAGCAGAAUGGUUAUCCAAAUAACAAAGAAGUGUACAACACUUGCGUUACAGUGCAUGCACAUUCACACACACACACACACACACACACACACACACACACACACACACACAC